rnacentral:rRNA from 1 species
CCUACGGGAGGCAGCAGUGAGGAAUAUUGGUCAAUGGACGCAAGUCUGAACCAGCCAUGCCGCGUGCAGGAAGACGGCUCUAUGAGUUGUAAACUGCUUUUGUACGAGGGUAAACGCAGAUACGCGUAUCUGUCUGAAAGUAUCGUACGAAUAAGGAUCGGCUAACUCCGUGCCAGCAGCCGCGGUAAUACGGAGGAUUCAAGCGUUAUCCGGAUUUAUUGGGUUUAAAGGGUGCGUAGGCGGUCGGAUAAGUUAGAGGUGAAAGCCCGGGGCUCAACUUCGGAAUUGCCUCUGAUACUGGUCGGCUAGAGUGUAGUUGAGGUAGGCGGAAUGUAUGGUGUAGCGGUGAAAUGCUUAGAGAUCAUACAGAACACCGAUUGCGAAGGCAGCUUACCAAGCUACUUCUGACGUUGAGGCACGAAAGCGUGGGGAGCAAACAGGAUUAGAUACCCCGGUAGUC